UCCGUCCCUGGGGACAUCACUGCUAACCAGCCUGAUGUCGAAGAGCUGCCAGAGACAGGGUGAGACGCUCCGCUUUCUGCUGUCCAAGAGAACCCCCAAGCAUGGGGUGAUCUUCAGGGAGGUGUCGGAGAGCACGAUGCAGCCCGGGGACAUCGUGCUCUUCCCCUUGGACAGCAGCGCUGGCGUCAGCGUUCUCUUCAAACACGCAGCCGUCUGCUGCGGGGACGGAGAGGUCAUACACU